rnacentral:rRNA from 1 species
AUUGAACGCUGGCGGCAUGCCUUACACAUGCAAGUCGAACGGCAGCACGGGUGCUUGCACCUGGUGGCGAGUGGCGAACGGGUGAGUAAUAUAUCGGAACGUACCUUAUUGUGGGGGAUAACGCAGCGAAAGCUGUGCUAAUACCGCAUAAUCCCUAAGGGGGAAAGCGGGGGACCGUAAGGCCUCGCGCAAUUAGAGCGGCCGAUACCUGAUUGGCUAGUUGGUGAGGUAAAGGCUCACCAAGGCAACGAUCAGUAGCUGGUCUGAGAGGACGAUCAGCCACACUGGGACUGAGACACGGCCCAGACUCCUACGGGAGGCAGCAGUGGGGAAUUUUGGACAAUGGGGGCAACCCUGAUCCAGCAAUGCCGCGUGAGUGAAGAAGGCCUUCGGGUUGUAAAGCUCUUUUGUCAGGGAAGAAACAGCAGCCCUAACACAGUAUGCGAAUGACGGUACCUGAAGAAUAAGCACCGGCUAACUACGUGCCAGCAGCCGCCGUAA